CACGUGGGUAACCUGCCUCGUAGUGGGGAAUAACUCGCCGAAAGGCGAGCUAAUACCGCAUAACACCCCCGGUGAGAUUCCGGGUGGUAAAAGCUCCGGCGCUAUGAGAGGGGCCCGCGGCCGAUUAGCUUGUUGGUGGGGUAAUGGCCUACCAAGGCGACGAUCGGUAGCUGGUCUGAGAGGAUGGUCAGCCACACGGGGACUGAGAUACGGCCCCG
rnacentral:rRNA from 1 species